GUUCCAGCAGCACAAUGGAUAGUGUGCGUUUUACUUCUAAUCCAAAGGUUGUGGAUUCGAAUUCCAUCUGGAAUG